CNGGGAAUAGUUUAUGUAGAAUUUCAGCUUUGGGUGCUGAUGGUGGAGUAUAAUACUUCUUCCUUGA
rnacentral:tRNA from 1 species